rnacentral:rRNA from 1 species
UACAGAGGUCUCAAGCGUUGUUCGGAUUCAUUGGGCGUAAAGCGCACGUAGGCGGCUCGUUAAGUCAGGGGUGAAAUCCUGGAGCUCAACUCCAGAACUGCCUUUGAUACUGGCGACCUUGAGUUCGGGAGAGGUGAGUGGAACUGCGAGUGUAGAGGUGAAAUUCGUAGAUAUUCGCAAGAACACCAGUGGCGAAGGCGGCUCACUGGCACGAUACUGACGCUGAGGUGCGAAAGCGUGGGGAGCAAACAGG